rnacentral:ncRNA from 12 species
GGGUCUAGAGGGAAUACGCUCUAGAGGUUAAAUAAGGUAAGAUGGUCGGGCCGCCAUCU